UGCAUAUCAAUAAGCGGAGGAAAAGAAACUAACAAGGAUUCCCCUAGUAACGGCGAGUGAAGCGGGAAAAGCUCAAAUUUGUAAUCUGGCGCCUUUGGCGUCCGAGUUGUAAUCUCGAGAAGUAUUUUCCGCGCUGGACCGCACAUAAGUCUGUUGGAAUACAGCGUCAUAGUGGUGAGAACCCCGUAUAGGGUGCGGAUGCCCAGUGCUUUGUGAUAUACUUUCGAAGAGUCGAGUUGUUUGGGAAUGCAGCUCAAAUGGGGUGGUAAAUUCCAUCUAAAGCUAAAUAUUGGCGAGAGACCGAUAGCGAACAAGUACCGUGAGGGAAAGAUGAAAAGCACUUUGGAAAGAGAGUUAACAGUACGUGAAAUUGUUGAAAGGGAAACGCUUGAAGUCAGACUUGCGUUUUGGAGUUCAGCCGCAAGGUGUAUUCUUCAAUUCGCAGGCCAGCAUCAGUUUUUGGGGGUGGAAAAGCGCGGAUGGAAGGUAGCAGUCUCGGCUGUGUUAUAGCUUUCCGCUGGAUUCACUUUUGGGGACUGAGGAACGCAGUACGCUUUUUGCAAGACCCUCGGGUCUUUCGUACUUAGGAUGCUGGUGGAAUGGCUUUAAACGACCCAUCUUGAAACACGGACCA
rnacentral:rRNA from 1 species